UACGGAGGGUGCAAGCGUUAUCCGGAUUCACUGGGUUUAAAGGGUGCGUAGGUGGGUCUGUAAGUCAGUGGUGAAAUCUCCGAGCUUAACUCGGAAACUGCCAUUGAUACUAUAGGUCUUGAAUUAUCUGGAGGUGAGCGGAAUAUGUCAUGUAGCGGUGAAAUGCUUAGAUAUGACAUAGAACACCAAUUGCGAAGGCAGCUCACUACGGAUAUAUUGACACUGAGGCACGGAAAGCGUG
rnacentral:rRNA from 1 species